UACGUAGGGUGCAAGCGUUAAUCGGAAUUACUGGGCGUAAAGCGUGCGCAGGCGGUUUGGUAAGACAGAUGUGAAAUCCCCGGGCUCAACCUGGGAAUUGCAUUUGUGACUGCCCGACUAGAGUGUGUCAGAGGGGGGUAGAAUUCCACGUGUAGCAGUGAAAUGCGUAGAGAUGUGGAGGAAUACCGAUGGCGAAGGCAGCCCCCUGGGAUAACACUGACGCUCCAUGCACG
rnacentral:rRNA from 1 species